UACCUCAAACCUCAUGACCAAUUUCGCAGCGAAUAUCCCACUCUCAUUACUCCCUUCUUCUUCUCUCGGCUUACCCUGCGUCUCGCCGGUGGUUCUCACCAGUGGUCGUCGCCGCGUGGUCUCGCCCGUCGCCGGUGGUACUCUAGCAAGAGUCUAUUUAAUUUCCUCACCUCUCACCGGUGGUUCCCUGCUCGAAAAACCCCCGCAAAAGGUAUUCCCUGCUCGAAAAAACAACCGGCGAAGUGAUUCCCUGCUCGGAAAACUAAGCUUCUUUGCUCGGCCGGUUCGCGAACCCUGUUCUCCGUCAAUCCUCGCUGCGGCAAGUAACUUUCUCCCCUGUCCCUUUUUAUUUUCGUUUUCAAAAUUAGGGUUUGUUCAUUUUUCAUUUUUGCAGAGAAAGCCAAAGAAAUUGUUGGCUGACAAGAUUAGGAGAAAAUACAUACGUUUAUCUCGGAGACUUCCUCCACCCUUUUGAAGGGCGCAUAUACCAGUAAAAAACCGUACUGUUAUAGUACUCGAGACAGAUACUGGAGAACAAUACGAAGCCAAUUAUCUGCCUCAAUAUCGUGGACUCAGUGGUGGGUGGAAAAGGUUUGCCAUAGUUCUGAAAUUGGAAGGAGAUACUGUUGUUUUUCAACUAGUUGAACCUGCCAAAUUUAAGUCUACCUCUUCUAGAAUCAAAUCACUAAACUAGUUGAAGCUGAGGAUAAAAGCUGCUAAUGAAGCUGAGGCGGCUUGCCAACGGCGUCUCUCUGUUGCUGAGGCUGAAAUAGCUGAUUUAAGAUCCAAAUUGGAUACUACUGAAAGCAUGGAAGGCAAGCAUUCGUUUCUGUGCCUAGCACUUUUCCUGUGCCUGGAGAAGAACUGAUGUUUUGAUGAUUGUAAGAGGGGCAAGGAGAAGCUUGUUUGUGAUGCUGCUCAAGUACUGCUUUAUUUCGGAGUUGAACAAAUCAUCUAUGUUUCUGAAAUGACGCACUGCUAAAUAAAGGUCUAUACUCCGAGGACUGCGCCUUAUGCUAGUGAGGAAAUUGAUGUGGUUCGUGAGCAAUGGGCGAAGUUUUUUACCACCAAGUAUUUAUUAUUGACCUGAGGGCGCUUGAUCGUGUUGGUUUAGAUGUUAUAGAACAAUCUUUUAUGUUAAAAUGUAUGCGUACGUUGAAAUUGGAACGUAAAUAUAUUUAAAUGUAUCAGU